rnacentral:rRNA from 1 species
UACAGAGACCUCAAGCGUUAUCCGGAAUCAUUGGGCGUAAAGCGUACCGAUAGGUGGUUAUACAAGUCAGAAGUGAAAUUCCAAAGCUUAACUUUGGGUCUGUCUUUUGAAACUGUAUAACUAGAAGGGCAAAGAGGAAGCUGGAACAAACGGUGUAGUAGUGAAAUGCGUUGAUAUCGUUUGGAACACCAAUAGCGUAGGCAGGCUUCUGGGUGCCACUUGACACUGCUAGGACGAAAGCGUGGGGAGCGAAUGGG